UGCGUAGGCGGAAUAUUAAGUCAGUGGUGAAAUCCUGCGGCUCAACCGUAGAACUGCCAUUGAUACUGAUAUUCUUGAAUGUAGUUGAGGUAGGCGGAAUGUGUAAUGUAGCGGUGAAAUGCUUAGAUAUUACACAGAACACCGAUUGCGAAGGCAGCUUGCUAAACUAUUAUUGACGCUGAGGCACGAAAGCGUGGGGAGCGAACAGGAUUAGAUACCCUGGUAGUCC
rnacentral:rRNA from 1 species